UUAAGUUAUUAAGGGCGCACGGUGGAUGCCUUGGCACUAGAAGCCGAUGAAGGACGUUACUAACGACGAUAUGCUUUGGGGAGCUGUAAGUAAGCUUUGAUCCAGAGAUUUCCGAAUGGGGAAACCCAGCAUGAGUUAUGUCAUGUUAUCGAUAUGUGAAUACAUAGCAUAUCAGAAGGCACACCCGGAGAACUGAAACAUCUUAGUACCCGGAGGAAGAGAAAGAAAAUUCGAUUCCCUUAGUAGCGGCGAGCGAAACGGGAAGAGCCCAAACCAACAAGCUUGCUUGUUGGGGUUGUAGGACACUCUGUACGGAGUUACAAAGGACGACAUUAGACGAAUCAUCUGGAAAGAUGAAUCAAAGAAGGUAAUAAUCCUGUAGUCGAAAAUGUUGUCUCUCUUGAGUGGAUCCUGAGUACGACGGAGCACGUGAAAUUCCGUCGGAAUCUGGGAGGACCAUCUCCUAAGGCUAAAUACUCUCUAGUGACCGAUAGUGAACCAGUACCGUGAGGGAAAGGUGAAAAGCACCCCGGAAGGGGAGUGAAAUAGAACCUGAAACCGUGUGCUUACAAGUAGUCAGAGCCCGUUAAUGGGUGAUGGCGUGCCUUUUGUAGAAUGAACCGGCGAGUUACGAUUUGAUGCAAGGUUAAGCAGUAAAUGUGGAGCCGUAGCGAAAGCGAGUCUGAAUAGGGCGUUUAGUAUUUGGUCGUAGACCCGAAACCAGGUGAUCUACCCUUGGUCAGGUUGAAGUUCAGGUAACACUGAAUGGAGGACCGAACCGACUUACGUUGAAAAGUGAGCGGAUGAACUGAGGGUAGCGGAGAAAUUCCAAUCGAACCUGGAGAUAGCUGGUUCUCUCCGAAAUAGCUUUAGGGCUAGCCUCAAGUGAUGAUUAUUGGAGGUAGAGCACUGUUUGGACGAGGGGCCCCUCUCGGGUUACCGAAUUCAGACAAACUCCGAAUGCCAAUUAAUUUAACUUGGGAGUCAGAACAUGGGUGAUAAGGUCCGUGUUCGAAAGGGAAACAGCCCAGACCACCAGCUAAGGUCCCAAAAUAUAUGUUAAGUGGAAAAGGAUGUGGCGUUGCCCAGACAACUAGGAUGUUGGCUUAGAAGCAGCCAUCAUUUAAAGAGUGCGUAAUAGCUCACUAGUCGAGUGACACUGCGCCGAAAAUGUACCGGGGCUAAACAUAUUACCGAAGCUGUGGAUUGUCCUUUGGACAAUGGUAGGAGAGCGUUCUAAGGGCGUUGAAGCAUGAUCGUAAGGACAUGUGGAGCGCUUAGAAGUGAGAAUGCCGGUGUGAGUAGCGAAAGACGGGUGAGAAUCCCGUCCACCGAUUGACUAAGGUUUCCAGAGGAAGGCUCGUCCGCUCUGGGUUAGUCGGGUCCUAAGCUGAGGCCGACAGGCGUAGGCGAUGGAUAACAGGUUGAUAUUCCUGUACCACCUAUAAUCGUUUUAAUCGAUGGGGGGACGCAGUAGGAUAGGCGAAGCGUGCGAUUGGAUUGCACGUCUAAGCAGUAAGGCUGAGUAUUAGGCAAAUCCGGUACUCGUUAAGGCUGAGCUGUGAUGGGGAGAAGACAUUGUGUCUUCGAGUCGUUGAUUUCACACUGCCGAGAAAAGCCUCUAGAUAGAAAAUAGGUGCCCGUACCGCAAACCGACACAGGUAGUCAAGAUGAGAAUUCUAAGGUGAGCGAGCGAACUCUCGUUAAGGAACUCGGCAAAAUGACCCCGUAACUUCGGGAGAAGGGGUGCUCUUUAGGGUUAACGCCCAGAAGAGCCGCAGUGAAUAGGCCCAAGCGACUGUUUAUCAAAAACACAGGUCUCUGCUAAACCGUAAGGUGAUGUAUAGGGGCUGACGCCUGCCCGGUGCUGGAAGGUUAAGAGGAGUGGUUAGCUUCUGCGAAGCUACGAAUCGAAGCCCCAGUAAACGGCGGCCGUAACUAUAACGGUCCUAAGGUAGCGAAAUUCCUUGUCGGGUAAGUUCCGACCCGCACGAAAGGCGUAACGAUUUGGGCACUGUCUCAACGAGAGACUCGGUGAAAUCAUAGUACCUGUGAAGAUGCAGGUUACCCGCGACAGGACGGAAAGACCCCGUGGAGCUUUACUGUAGCCUGAUAUUGAAAUUCGGCACAGCUUGUACAGGAUAGGUAGGAGCCUUUGAAACGUGAGCGCUAGCUUACGUGGAGGCGCUGGUGGGAUACUACCCUAGCUGUGUUGGCUUUCUAACCGGCACCACUUAUCGUGGUGGGAGACAGUGUCAGGCGGGCAGUUUGACUGGGGCGGUCGCCUCCUAAAAGGUAACGGAGGCGCUCAAAGGUUCCCUCAGAAUGGUUGGAAAUCAUUCAUAGAGUGUAAAGGCAUAAGGGAGCUUGACUGCGAGACCUACAAGUCGAGCAGGGUCGAAAGACGGACUUAGUGAUCCGGUGGUUCCGCAUGGAAGGGCCAUCGCUCAACGGAUAAAAGCUACCCCGGGGAUAACAGGCUUAUCUCCCCCAAGAGUUCACAUCGACGGGGAGGUUUGGCACCUCGAUGUCGGCUCAUCGCAUCCUGGGGCUGUAGUCGGUCCCAAGGGUUGGGCUGUUCGCCCAUUAAAGCGGUACGCGAGCUGGGUUCAGAACGUCGUGAGACAGUUCGGUCCCUAUCCGUCGUGGGCGUAGGAAAUUUGAGAGGAGCUGUCCUUAGUACGAGAGGACCGGGAUGGACAUACCUCUGGUGUACCAGUUGUCGUGCCAACGGCAUAGCUGGGUAGCUAUGUGUGGACGGGAUAAGUGCUGAAAGCAUCUAAGCAUGAAGCCCCCCUCAAGAUGAGAUUUCCCAACUUCGGUUAUAAGAUCCCUCAAAGAUGAUGAGGUUAAUAGGUUCGAGGUGGAAGCAUGGUGACAUGUGGAGCUGACGAAUACUAAUCGAUCGAAGACUUAAUCAA
rnacentral:rRNA from 1 species